rnacentral:rRNA from 1 species
GUCUACGGCCACACCACCCCAAAUGUACCUCACCUCAUCUGAUCUCAGAAGCUGAGCAGGGUCAGGCCUGGCUAGAAUUUGGAUGGGAGAAAGGAAAGCAGUAUUCUCCACAGCCGGAAGCCGGUGGCA